GCCGGCAGCCAUAUCACCCUGUAGCCCAAGACUGGUUGCCCACUGAAGCUAAGCAGGGCUGGUCCUGGUCAGUACCUGGAUGGGAGACCUCCUGGGAAAACUAGGUUGCUGCUGGAA
rnacentral:rRNA from 1 species